rnacentral:lncRNA from 1 species
UAAAGAAAAGCUGCAACAUCAUCCAAAUGUUUCGUUCACAUGUUUUGUAUUAUGUUGAUUUUAUUCAAUUUAAUUUAGAUUGAUUGAUUUACAGCUAUAGUUAAUCGCAUGGUCAUGACUUUCAAAACGCAUCGCCUGGAGAGCAGGCUGCGCGAGCUGGAGAUAAAGAUGACUGACAUCUGUCAAGAAUCAUCCAAGGACGUCUCUGUUCCACUGGAAGUGCGGACAUCCCUUGAAACACUCUUACAAGAGAGGCUGAAUGAAGCGAUGCCGAAGUUGCGUGUGGUGAGAGACGUGACACAAGACUGCAACUGUCCUCCAGUGCCGCAGAAGGACCAACAGAGGCACCGAACUGUAAGGUGA